rnacentral:tRNA from 1 species
GCCCUGGUGGUGGAAUUGGUAGACACGCAGGACUUAAAAUCCUGUGAUCAGCAAUGGUCGUGCGGGUUCAAGUCCCGCCCGGGGCACGA